CCGAGUUGUAAUUUGUAGAGGAUGCUUCGGGCGUGGCCGCGGUCUAAGUCCCCUGGAACGGGGCGUCGCAGAGGGUGAGAAUCCCGUCUUCGGCCGGCCGGCUUCGCCCAUGUGAAGCUCCUUCGACGAGUCGAGUUGUUUGGGAAUGCAGCUCUAAAUGGGUGGUAAAUUUCAUCUAAAGCUAAAUACUGGUCGGAGACCGAUAGCGCACAAGUAGAGUGAUCGAAAGAUGAAAAGCACUUUGAAAAGAGAGUUAAACAGCAUGUGAAAUUGUUGAAAGGGAAGCGCUUGCGACCAGAGUCGGCCGCGGGGGUUCAGCGGGCAUUCGUUGCCCGUGCACUCCCCCGUGGCCGGGCCAGCGUCGGUUUCGACGGCCGGUCAAAGGCCCCCGGAAUGUGUCACCCUUCGGGGUGUCUUAUAGCCGGGGGUGCAAUGCGGCCAGUCGGGACCGAGGAACGCGCUUCGGCACGGACGCUGGCUUAAUGGUCGUAAGCGACCCGUCUUGAAACACGGACCAAGGAGUCUAACAUCCACGCGAGUGUUCGGGUGUCAAACCCGUCCGCGCAGUGAAAGCGAACGGAGGUGGGAACCCUUAAGGGUGCACCAUCGACCGAUCCAGAAGUCUUCGGAUGGAUUUGAGUAAGA
rnacentral:rRNA from 1 species